rnacentral:misc_RNA from 1 species
GGACGAAGAACGUAGCGAAAUGCGAUAAGUAGUGUGAAUUGCAGAAUUCAGUGAAUCAUCGAAUCUUUGAACGCACAUUGCGCCUUCUAGUAUUCUGGGAGGCAUGCCUGUUUGAGCGUCAUUAAACCUCUCUCAAGUAUGAUUACUUGGAUGUGAAGGAAGAGUACCUUAAACUUAAGGAGUGUUCUCCUUUGAAAUUGAUUAGCAGAUGGUAAUGUUAUUAAAUCCCUGAUGUUGUAAGAAAUAACAGUGGUUUUGUAGACUAUUAUCUAGCUUUAAAUUAUAAUUUUUAUUAUGGUUGACCUCAAAUCAGGUAAGGAUACCCGCUGAACUUAAGCAUAUCAAUAAGCGGAGGA